rnacentral:rRNA from 1 species
AUGAAGAUUGAGGGUAGAAGGGUUAGUGAUCUCACUACUAGACUUGGUUUUGAAGGUUGUUAUCCAGUUAGUAGUGAUGGCCUUAGUGGCGGACUUGCGUUGUUUUGGUCGAAGGAAGUAGAAGUGACACUAAAUAAUUUCUCAAAUCAGCAUAUUGAUGUAUCUGUUAAGAACAUAUGCGGUGAUAAUAAAAAGUGGAGGUUUACGGGCUUCUAUGCGAAAGCUAGAAGAAGUGAAUGGGUAGAAAGUUGGAACUUGUUGAGAUGGUUGAAAGCUCAAAGUGAUGCUCCAUGGUUAUGUGGAGGUGAUUUUAAUGAAAUUCUUGAUAACUCGGAGUACUUUGGAGCUCAUGAUCGCCCGGAGUGGCAAAUGGAGGGUUUUAGGCAAUGUGUGGAUGACUGUGAAUUUCAAGAUCUCGGGUUCCAGGGUGUACCUUUUACCUGGGAUAAUAUGCAACAUGGUGAGUCAAACGUUAAAGUCCGGCUUGAUAGGUUCUUAGUGAACCAGGCGAUGGCGUCAAUGUAUCCAUCUUCCUUUGGAUGGCGUCAAGGAGCGGGUUUGCAAGGUUUGCAGGGCAUAGAUCAUGCCCUGUCAGACAUGCAAGUACAUCUUACGGACUGGAAAUCAAAGAAGUUUGGAGAUGUGAAGAAGAAAAUAAAGAAGGUACGUAAUGAGUACGAGAGGGAAAGAUCAAACUCGUUGUUUCGAGGACCGACCAAGAAAGAAAAAGAUCUAGCCAGGCAGCUCUCGGAGCUUCUUCACAAGGAGGAGAUCUUGGCGAGGCAGCGGUCUAGGGCAGAUUGGCUCAAGGCAGGAGAUAGGAACACGGGUUUCUUCCAGGCCCGUGCAGCGGCACGUAAAAGUAUAAACAGGAUCCGCAGCCUUCAAACUGCGGAUGGGGAGAUCUGUGAGACAAAAGAAGAAGUUCAUGCUAAGGUGCAACAGUUUUAUACUGGCCUGUACACGGCGCAAGAGAACACGGAUGUGGAGGCAUUUGUGUCGGACUUGUUAGACCCGAUGACAAAUCAAUGGAAUACGGAGUUGAUUCAGAGUAUCUUCUAUGCACCCGACGCGGCAGCUAUUCUUGCUAUGGCAAGACCGCGAGUAGGAGGUGCAGAUGUGUGGGCAUGGGCCAAGGAGAAAUCUGGCCUUUUCACGGUCAGAUCGGUGUAUCGGCAUGAGAUGGAGACUAGAAGCCAGGGGACUGAAUCUUCGGGUUCCUCAUCAGGUGAUACGACCAUCUGGAAGGCAUUGUGGAAAAUUAACGUGCUCCCCAAGAUCCGGGUGUUUUGGUGGCGCGUGCUAAAGAAUUUUUUGCCGUCCUAUGGGGAGCUUCAAAGGCGGCAUAUCAAGCAACUACCUCACUGUCCGAUGAACAACUAUACUCAUGGUGAGUUGGUGUACCAACCAAUUAAAUCAAUGGUGAUCAUUGAAGAGAUUAUCAGGGCACUUGAGAUACCUGAGAGGAAGAAGACCGAAAGUACUGCCCGUCGGGGUUGGCUACCACCAGAUGAGGGCUGGAUAAAAAUCAAUACCGAUGGUGCGACGGAUAUGGGGCAACUGCGUGGAGGAGCAGGUUUUAUUGCUCGAGAUCACAAUGGAGUUUUUGUUAGAGGAGGAGGUACAAGAUAUGAUGGGGUUCUUGAUCCAUUAUCCAUUGAGGUACUUGCGUGCAGAGAUGCGAUCAAUAUGGCGCUAGAUAUGGGCUUGCAGCAAGUAGUUGUGGAGACAGAUUGUCAAGAGAUCCAUCGGCUGUGGGAACUACCUCAGAAGUCGUCGUGUUUUCACUUGAUCACGAAGAUGAAGAAUCUAUCUUCUUUUUUCCAGGGAUUUGAGCUACGGUUUGUAGGUUCUAGCGGCGACACUGUAGAAACGGCCCCACAGCCACAGACUUCGUCCCCAUUCUCACUCAAAAUACCGGAAACACCCCUCGCGCCAAGCCUGCAGCCUCUGCCCUUAUCCUCUUCCUCUGUUUUUGCCCGCUUUGCCCCCACCCCUCCCGAGGGCGGCGGCGACGCCACCGAUCACCGCAUUGCCUACUUCUUCCGCGCCGGCUUCCCCGCUCGUCUCGUCUCGGCUCCGACUCCCACGCCACGCCAUCGCCAUCGAACCUUCUCUCCGCGGAGCACGCCAGCUCGAAGGAGCUCCGAGCGGAGCUCCGUGCGAGCUUGCUCGACUGCUGCUUCAGAGCUGGUGACGACCACUAACCACCUCGCAGCGUCCUAG